GUGAGGUCCCGCCACAGAUUUCUUAGCAACUGAGAACUUAACUGUUGGGCAUCAACUGGCAGUCAGAGUUACGAGUUGAAAGCAACAGAAACCAUUUCCAGCUGAUAAAAGAGAAGAGGAAUUUAUUGGAAGAUCCUGCUGUGGCUGAUUGCUGCUAACUAGGGGGGCUGGGGAAUCAGACCCAGAAGCUGUGGGCGCAGAACUGGUGACACCCACACGGCGCCUGUGUGCUGAGCCCUGCCCACCCUGACGGCUGUGGCAGAUGCUGCCUGCCCCCCUGCCGAGGCUGGGCACCCCGGGGAGCAGAUGCUGAAGUGGGGUCAGCAUGAGAGCCAGUCAUCAGGGAGUGGUCUUGAGAGGGAGGAGAAGAAAAGAGGAACUGAGCGGAGGGGCACGCUGAGCUGUGAGGUGGUCCUGGCCAAGGACUCCGCCAUCCUCAUGGGGAGCUGGGUGCUGGGCUGCACUUUCAGAGCUGCACCAAGUCAGGGUGAGGGGCUGGGAUCACACCCCUGUGGCCUGGGUCGCCAGACGCGGGUGCCACGCACAGACAGGACAUGCUCUUGGGCCAUAUGUGUCCUGCCUGGCCAUCCCCAAAGAGAGUACAUCACUGGACAUCCUCUCAGCACCCAGAAAGGGCUCAUUUCCCAGGGAACCCAUGGCCCAUCAGAAGCUGCUGCCAGCUAUGAGAAAAACCCUGACUGAACCCGCUUCUUGGACUCAGGAGGCGGCCCCCAGUGUCCAAGACUUGAAGACAAAGCAAGGCUGCACCUGCUGGCCCCUCUCUCGCACACAGAGGCUGGAUGCUGUGCUGCGAACCCAGGAGAUCCAGCCCCAGUUUGUGCAGAUGCUGGUGGGGCUCUGGGCUGGACCCCUAGCACAAGGCUCCUUGGAUUGACUUGCUAGUCUCCAACAUGUGGCAGUGUUUACUGGGCAGGAACCUACCUAAUUAUCUCACAGAUGCUCACCUGGAGCAUCUCAGCCCUUCCCUCCUCCAACCUCUCCAUCAACCCAGAGAAGAGGAAUACACAGCUUUUAAGUUCCCAGCUUCUCGAGAAGCUUAAACUGGACAGAAGAGAUGCAUGUGGCCUGUGCAGCCCGCCUGAGCCAGCCCCCCAGGGAAGUAGAAAAUCCAAAGGGGUGUGGUUCGGUAACAGGAGACCAGCUACACGCUGACACAGGGACAGAGAAGUCACAGCCAACGAUCAUAAACAGAGAGCAUCGACAGGCAAUGGGAUAAACAAACUGCGAUCCAUCCAUACAGAGC
ensembl:lncRNA